GAGCACGGUGCACCGCAUUUUUAUUCACCUCCAAGCUGCUCAACUCCUCAAAACUACACAUGCUUAUUAUCUUUUGCACCUCCCCUCCCUCCUCUUCCUCUAAGGUGAAAGAACAACCCAUGAACUCAGCUAAUUUCUUAACAUGAGCAGCGGUGUCUUUCUUCAUUUCCUCAUAUGUCAAGAACAGUAUCUUCUCAGGGAACUCCAAGCUUGCUCUCCAAUACCCUAAAACAUGGUCCCAGUAUGGUCCAUAAUUUGCAAUUCCAUUGCAGAACAACUCAAAAGCCUCUUCCAGAGGAAGAGGUUCAACAUUUUCCGACCUUUGAUGCGCGGAAAGAAAGUACCACAAAGAAACAAAAGCGUCCUUUGCGUCCCUGCAAAUGUAAAUAAUCUUGCAACUAGAAGAAAUGAUAGAUUUAGGUAAACAACUGUAAGGAACAUGAGUAGAUACCAGAGGAAUUGCCAGGUCCCGAUUACUUGGGUUUGAGCAAGGUCAUUCCAAAAAUGGAACACAGUCAUGUGGCAUCUUGGUAAGUAAAGAACUAGUUGUCGAACCACUUAAACGGGAUCGUGUAAGAAUAGCAAAAGUGAGGGCCUUAAGCCAAGUUGUGCCAGUUUUUGGAGAACUGGCGACAAAUAUAUCAGUGGAUUGAGGUGGAAGUGCUCUUGAACAGACAUGAGUCCUUCCAAGAAGAAGGUAUCGUACCAAAAGCCUUGGUACAGGUAAUAAUCACACCCCCUCCAGCCUUUAACUUUUGGAAGGGUGGACAUCACUUCAUUGUAAUUUUUAGCUUCAUUUUUUCUCUCUGCACUUUCACCAGAAUCCAAGAUUUGGGUGGAAGGCAAAGAGGAUUCCAUGAAUGUAAAAAAAGAAAAUAUAACGUAGAAUGAAAGGCCAUGGCAGCUAUUUGUAGCGAGCUGAGAGUUUAAUUUUUGGCGCCAUCAACUAUUAAUUACCUUUCGAGAACGUGCUGUCUCAAAUUACUGAUAUUUGAUCACCAUCAUCCAAGAUUUCCUGACAUUUUCUUUCACAUUGUCACGCUGCCUCAAGCUAUAAUAAUUGAAUUAAAUAAAAAUUUACUGUAUUUUAAUAGUAUUGAUCACAUGUCGGCUGAUGCAAUUGGGUAUUGUUUCAUAUUAUAUUCGAUAUCACAUCUUUAGCGUGAUUGUGUUUUAAAUCUAUAUUUCUAAAAAAAAAAAAAGAUGAAACCAUAACCCCAAAACAAGCAAUUACGUAGUAGAUCGCAUUUCUAGACUAGAAACUAUUUCUUAUUAUAGAAUCAUGUUGACAGGUUUAGGGCUGGUUAAUUCUUGGCACUAUCAACGAUUUCCUUUCGAGAACGUGAUGUCUCAGAUUUCAAAUACUGGGUCACCAUCGUCCAAAGUAUAUGUUAAUAUCAUAUUGUUAUUUAAUAUUGGUUAUUUUAACAUUUUAUUUAGAAAUAUAUUAAAAUAAUAUAUUUUUUAUUUUUUAAAAUUUAUUUUUAAUAUUGAUAUAUCAAAACAAUCUAAAAAUAAAAAAAUAAAUAAUUAAAAGCAAAGAUUAGCUAUAUCGGACCAAUUGAUAUAUAUUAUAUUAUUUAGUAUUUCUCGCUUGGAGAUAUUACAUAAUGGAUAUCGGCUCUGCUUGGAACAUCACCAUGCUUUGACACGCAGAGGUGGAUCUCAUACACACACACACAUAUUCAACAUGAGAAGACAAGGAAAAAAAGACACCAAACAAUCUUAUGUCUCGAAUUAUUGAUAUGUGGUCGUCAAUCGUCAUCAUCUAGUUUUGUAACAUUUUUGUCACAUUAUUAUAGUACCUCGAAUUAUAAUAUGUGAAUUAAAUCAAGUUUUACACUAAUUUAAUAUUCUUGACCAUUUGCCCGCUGAUGCUAAUAGAUUUUAUUUCAUAUUAUAUGAGAUAUCAAAUCUUUCUGAAAAGAACUUUGAAAACUCAAAGCAUGAUUGUGUUUUAAAAACCCUAUAUUUAGAAAGAAGAAGACAUCUAUAUAGAAAAAUUGAAGAUAAAAUCAAAAUGCCUUCUCCAUUGUUUUUUUUUUAAAGGAAACAUUUUCAAUAUUCAAAUCAAUGUAGUGAGUUAUAAAAGAUAUCAACAGAGGCCCAUAAUUAAGACUCUCAAUAUUUUGAUUGAAAUAAAAGAAGAAAAAACUUCGUUAGCAUCCAACGCUAGUUCGAUGUUUGUGCAAGAUCCCAUAAAUAAUGAGAGAUAUUAAUGAUGUAAUUACAAGUAUUGUGGUAUUAAAAAUAUUAUUAUUAGUUUUUUUUUUUAUUUUUUUGUAUAAUUAAUUUUUAGAGUAUUAAUAGUAAAAAUAUUAUUGUUUGUUUUGUUGAUAUAAUUUUUUUUGUACAAUUAAUAUUAAAAGAAUUAUUAUAUUUUUUCUUAAUAUAUUUUUUGGGUAUAAUUGAUAGUAUUGGUAUGAAAAAUAUUAUUAUUAUUUUAGUCUAAUUAAUAGUGUUGAUCUCAAAACUAUUAUUAUUUGUUCUAUUAAUAUUUUUUUUUAGUAUAAUUAAUAGUAUUAAUAUCUAAAAUAUUAUUAUAUUUGAUGUUAUAAAUAAUAUGAUUUUUAUAAUAAUUCAUAUUAUUGCUACUAAAAAUAUUAUUAUUUGUAUUAUAAAAAUUUUAGUAUUUUCAUUAAAAUUUAUAAGAGCAUAAAUAUUAUUAUCAUCGUUAAUAAAUUUUAAAAAACUACUAUUACUUGAAAAAAAUCACGCUGGGACACGUGACACUAGGGUUCCCACCUUAGGGCGGUUAGCCCAAGCGCCAGGUGGCGCUUUGGCUUGGGCACUCACAAGCAUGACCCAAGGCUUGGGCAGGACCCAAAAUAGAAUUGGAUCCUAGCCGCGGGCAGACCAAGCACCAUGGGCGCUUGGGCAGCACCACUCCAAGCCUGCAGCACAGCGCCACGUGGUGUUUGGUCUACUUCCUCUUGGGUGCAGCGCCACGGGAGUUGACUUCAUUGUAAUUUUUAGCUUCAUUUUUCUUGUUAGCACUUUCAUCCAAGGUUGUCAAUUACGUUUCGUUCCGUUCGGAAUGGCCGAAAUAUUCCAUACCAAUUCAAAAAACGGAAUAAAUUUCAUCUCAUUUUAAAUCUCGGUCCGUUCCGAAUUUUUUGGCUAAAUUCCACCCGAAACGUUCCGAUUUCAUUCCACAUGUUCCGUUCCGCUCUUGAAAAGUCAUUGAAUCAAAUUGAACCUUACUCAAUUUCAUUAAUUAAACCACUCGAUUAUAAAAAGUUUUUUUUCAUUACUAUUUUCAAUAGCAAUGAUAUUAAUAAUAAUAUUGAAAAUUAUUAUUACUAUUUUCAUUAACAAUGAUAUUAAUUUUUUAAAAUUAGAUUUAUCACUAAUAUAUAUGAUUUAUAUUCAUGUUUUUUUUUUCAUGUUUAUACUUUGUAGGAAUUUGAGCAAAACAAGGGAUGUUUUAGAUUCCAUUACCCACUUGAUAACAUUGACCUAAUUUUAUAUUGAAAAUAUUUUUGUUAAAACAUUUUACUUUCAUAAUAUUUUGAUAUUUUGUUUAAGUUGAAUUCCUUUAAGUUAAAGAUCUAUUUAAUCUUGACUAUUUAGAAAUAUUUUAAAUUUUGAAAUUAUAUUUGUUUGACAUUGUGUUUGUAUUGCAUAAUUUAUAAUUAAUUUAUCUUGAAUUUGAAUUAUGUUUGUUGAAUAUAUAUAUAUAUAUAUAUGAACAAUACAACCUCGAAAUGGCACGCCGAAACACUUCGAAACUGAAACAUUUCAUUCUAAUUGAAAAAACAAAACACCUAUUAAAACAGAAUUAACAACCUUGCGUGAGUUAAUAAUGCAAUCCGAGAACCCAUAUUUUUUCUUCGGGUUAGUUCUUGAAUACCAAGUUCUAACAACUAUACUUAUAUAAUAUAGUAUAAAAGGCUAUCCUUCACUCACAAAUACCAACUCAACAUUUUUGUCAUUCGAAUAUGAAAAUAUCAAAUAAAAAAAUCUAAAUACUGACUCCUGUAAUCUUCUCGGAUAGCGAUGGAUCAAUGGAAAAAAUAUUAUAUGGACUAGAUUCCCAGAAAAGAGGGACAAGGGGUCGGCUUAUUUGGACCUUAAUAGGCAUAUGGGGUUGAGCAUUACUACGUGCUUACAAUUAAUCUAUUAAAUUCAUUUCUUCCUUAACUAUUUCAACACUUGCUAGACAUGCUAAGCAGACACAAAGCAUUCAUUAAUAUUUACCGUUGUGGUUGUGUGAGUGUGAGGGGGAGAGAGGCGGCAGGCAAAGGGUGAGAAAAUGGGAUAAAUGGGGUGAUUAUUAUAUAAAAUAAAAAUAAAUAAUGAAUUAAAUGAUCACAUUGAAAAGCUUGAAAGUAAUAUCAUCGAGACAAUAUGUAAAUUUGAGAUGAUAUUCCCUCUAUUAUUUUUUGACUCAAUAAUGCAUUUACCCAUACAUUUACCGUAUAAGGUAAAAGUUGGAGGACCGGUCUAAUAUAGAAAGAUGUAUCCAUUCGAGAGGUUAGAUAUUAUAAUUACAAUGUAAUUCAUAAUUAGAAGUUUUUUCAUUAUUAUUUUUAAUUGAUAAUUUUUGUUUGAUUCUAUAUAGGCAGGUACUUAACACGUGAGGUCUAUAUUGUUGAAGAGAUCUCAACCAAAGUUGUUAAUACCGUUCCGUUUCGGCCGGAACGCCUGGAACGUCUCGUACCAGUUAAAAAAACGAAAUAAAACGAAACAAGUUUCACCUCGCUUAAAAUCUCGGGUUGAUCCGGAAAUUCCGGUCAAAUUUCAGCCGGAACGUUCCGGCCGAAAUCCAGGUGUUCCGUUUCGGGUUAAAGCCAUCGAGUCUCUGUUUGUGUCCGUCUCUGUUUCACCCUUCUGGUCUUGCUUUUCUUUGCUUGGUUUCUUUUUGCUUUUCUUAUUCUCUCCGUCUCUGUUUGUGUCCGUCUCUGUUUCCUUUGUUUUUGGGUGGUUGGGUGAUCUGUUGUUUAGGAGACAACAGACAUUCCUUUGCUGGAGUCCUGGAAGAAAGCCCAGAAAUCUUUCUUCGUUUAUUUUGUGUUCUCAUGGGUUCUCUUUAUCUCUCUGUUCUUGAUCUUCUUCUCUGGGUUUUUUCUCCUUCCAUGUCUCUCUCUGCUUUCGUUCACUUUCUGUGUAUUCGUUCUUCGUUUGUAUCUGUCUUCUUUCCCUUUCUCUCUCUCUGUCCUCCUGUUCGUUCUGUUCCCCCCUGUGUUCUGUCCUCUCUGGGCUACGAUCAGAGGAACUGCGGCGAUCAAGCUCGACCCUACCAUAGUCACCUGGGGCCUUGCCUCCGGUGUUAGCGACCUGAGACUGAGAAUCAGCGUUGAAGGAACGAAAAACAGAGACGGAACGAACAGGGCUGGUGAGCUUAGCAAACAGAGGAGUAGCGGUGGCUCUCCUUAGAGCGACAGAUGUUGCCAUUUUGUUUUGGACUGGAGAAAUGUUGCUUAAUUUGGCGUGGGGUUCAAGGUGGUGCAGCAACUUGGAGGUUAGGGUGGGUUUAAUUAUAUAAGAAGCUUAGAAAUCAUCCUCGAGGAAAAGAGGAGGGGGAAACCGAAAGUUCCAGAGCGGUGGAGAAACAAUGUUCUAGAAUUACCAUUUUGAAUUCUUACAAACAUGCAAGGAAAUCAAUGAAAGUCACAAACACUGAUUCACAAAAGAAUUUUGCUUGUUGACAUGGAUGAUUCACAAAAUGUGAAUACUUGCUAGGAAAUACAUGAGAUGAACAGAGAGGGUAUUUAUUGGGAUACACAGUUGCUGUUUCACGAGAUGCUAAUAACAGCUUUUGAUGAACCCACUUUGGCAAUAAUCAUAAGCAAAUGGGAUCUCAGGCACAGUCACCUGGGCAGCUUCAAGCCUGAACCCUUGAGCUUCUUCUCCAUUAUGUCAUCUAGACGCGCUCCCAUUUCAGGUGUCAAGUGAUUUGCCCAGUCGCCUGUCUCACCUUUCCUGAAGAAUACACUAUUUUGAAUAGGAAUUGAUGUGCCUGGAGCACGGUGCACCGCAUUUUUAUUCACCUCCAAGCUACUCAACUCCUCAAAACUACACAUGCUUAUUAUCUUUUGCACCUCCCCUCCCUCCUCUUCCUCUAAGGUGAAAGAACAACCCAUGAACUCAGCUAAUUUCUUAACAGGAGCAGAGGUGUCUUUCUUCAUUUCCUCAUAUGUCAAGAACAGUAUCUUCUCAGGGAACUCCAAGCUUGCUCUCCAAUACCCUAAAACAUGGUCCCAGUAUGGUCCAUAAUUUGCAAUUCCAUU
rnacentral:lncRNA from 1 species